rnacentral:rRNA from 1 species
GUGAACGAGUGGCUGGAGACGGUGGUAAGACAGGUGGUGCAAUGGUGAGUCGGAAUUUAUGGGGGGAAGGCGGGCGUAGGUGGUUCAGUAAGAUGGGUGUGAAAGCCCCGGGGUUAACCUGGGAACUGCUGUCAUAACUGCUGAGCUAGAGUACGGUAGAGGGUAGUGGAAUUUCCUGUGUAGCGGUGAAAUGCGUAGAUAUAGGAAGGAACACCAGUGGCGAAGGCGACUACCUGGACUGAUACUGACACUGAGGUGCGAAAGCGUGGGGAGCAAACAGGAUUAGAUACCCCUGUAGUC